rnacentral:rRNA from 1 species
GACGAACGCUGGCGGCGUGCUUAACACAUGCAAGUCGAACGAUGAAGAAGAGACACGCGAACUUCGGUUCAAAUUUCACUUCGGAUUAGUGGCAGACGGGUGAGUAACGCGUGAGCAACCUACCUCUUACAAAGGGAUAGCCUCGGGAAACCGUGAUUAAUACCAUGUGACACAUUCAUAAGGCAUCUUAAGAAUGUUAAAGCUACGGCGGUAAGAGAUGGGCUCGCGUCCCAUUAGCUAGUUGGUGAGGUAACGGCCCACCAAGGCGACGAUGGGUAACCGGCCUGAGAGGGUGAACGGUCACAUUGGAACUGAGACACGGUCCAAACUCCUACGGGAGGCAGCAGUGGGGAAUAUUGCACAAUGGAGGGAACUCUGAUGCAGCGACGCCGCGUGAGCGAUGAGGGAAUUCGUUUCGUAAAGCUCUGUUCUAUGGGAAGAAAAGGACUGUACCAUAGGAGAAAGCCCCGGCUAAAUACGUG